CAGUCGCCACGGGAAUACAGAGGGUGCGAGCGUUAAUCGGAUUUACUGGGCGUAAAGCGUGCGUAGGCGGCUUUUUAAGUCGGAUGUGAAAUCCCUGAGCUUAACUUAGGAAUUGCAUUCGAUACUGGGAAGCUAGAGUAUGGGAGAGGAUGGUAGAAUUCCAGGUGUAGCGGUGAAAUGCGUAGAGAUCUGGAGGAAUACCGAUGGCGAAGGCAGCCAUCUGGCCUAAUACUGACGCUGAGGUACGAAAGCAUGGGGAGCAAACAGGAUUAAAUACCCCGGUAGUCCCUGUCUCUUAUAC
rnacentral:rRNA from 1 species